ACCUGCGUAACUGUUGCAUUUAGUUGAAUUGUGCGAACUGAACUGAACAGAACAGAACGUAUUGUGCAUGUCUAUUAAUAUUGAACUUCGCUAAUAUUGGAUUAAUUACAUUUGGAACCAGCACAAAAGAUAAAAGUCCUUACGGAACUGACAUCUAAUCUAUAGCUUCACGGAGUUUCUUUGAAGCUUUUAGCACGCAACGAGCGCAUACACGAUCAAUGCUGAUGGUUCGUAGAUGACCCACAUAUCUUCGAUCAUGCCAUAUCAGAGAUAUAGUCCUGGCGAACCUAAAUACCCGAAUUUUUGUAAAAUAAGCAAAAAUUUGGCCGAGAAAUAUGUAUGAUUUUACUUUCAGCCGGCCUUAACAGCCUUCACUGGUUCCUAGUUGGCGUAAAUAUCCUUGAUUAUACCAUAUCAUAGAUAUUGUCCUGGUGAACCUAAAUCAGUAUAUAUUCGCCCAAUAUGCAUGGAAAUGGUCCAGAAAUAUACUGACGUGAAGUGACCACAUCUCAGGUAAUUUAAUCCCGAAUUGCAGGAGAUCAGGAAAAGGAACUUUUGACACAGGAUUCACAGAUUCACACAGGAUUGUUUAGACCAAGACCAAAGAACAUCAUUAUCGCCCUUGCAGUUUCUAAGAUAUGAAGAAGGAUAUGAAAUGUGCAAGGAUAUGGCCGAUUUAUAGCCAUUUUUAUAAAAAGGACAUUCGUUUUGCCAUAACCAUGCCAAGAAUAUCGGAAGGAUACAACUUUUUGAGUGUGUGAAAUGAAUUGUAUGGACCAGGUCUAUCAUCUGACAAAAGGGCAUCGAAUUCGUCCUUGUAGUUUCUAAGAUAUGGAGGAUUUUGUGUAUUUUGCCAGUUUUCCUUGCCCGAAAAUUUUUACAAGUACAGGAUUCUUAGAUGACCCCAUAAUUUUUUGAUGCAGAUCGAUGCAAUUGGUCCUUACGAUCAUAAAGCACCAUGUCCUGCAAAAAUGUGCAAGGAUAUGGCCGAGUUAUGGCCAUUUUUCUAAAAAGGACAUUCGUUUUUUGGCCAUAGCCCUGCCAAAUCCUGAAGGAUAUCGGAAGGAUAUACCUUUUUGAGCUCGUAGGAAGCAGGACUAUCGAUUCGCAUUCAAGGAUUUCCAGGAUUCAAUCAAAAAUUUACCUAAAAAAUUUUCCUAGGGGGUUGCUCACAAAAUCGGCAAAAAUCAAUAAAAUCAGGGCUAACUUGGCCAUUUUAAGGACUAUCAUGAUGUCCUUUGCACAGUAGAUAGUCCUCGUCCCCCCAAUUACGAAUUAGCAAUAAAAAGGACGAAAAUCCUGCAAACGGCGGAGCAAAAAUGCCAAAUUUACAAACACAAAAUAGCCUAUAACUCAGCUAUAUCCUUGCGUAUCCUGACGAGUCCUGUGUCAAAUGAAUUGUAUGGACCGGGUUUAUCAUCUGGCCAAAGGGCAUCGAAAUCGUCCUAGUAGUUUCUAAGAUAUGAAGGAUUUUGUGUAUUUGGCCUGUUUUCCUUGCAAAUUGAGGCCGAAAAUUUUUACAAGUACAGGAUUCUUAGAUGACCCCAUAAUUUUUUGAUGCAGAUCGAUGCAAUUGGUCCUUACGAUCAUAAAGCACCAUGUCCUGCAAAAAUGUGCAAGGAUAUGGCCGAGUUAUGGCCAUUUUUCUAAAAAGGACAUUCGUUUUUUGGCCAUAGCCCUGCCAAAUCCUGAAGGAUAUCGGAAGGAUAUACCUUUUUGAGCUCGUAGGAAGCAGGACUAUCGAUUCGCAUUCAAGGAUUUCCAGGAUUCAAUCAAAAAUUUACCUAAAAAAUUUUCCUAGGGGGUUGCUCACAAAAUCGGCAAAAAUCAAUAAAAUCAGGGCUAACUUGGCCAUUUUAAGGACUAUCAUGAUGUCCUUUGCACAGUAGAUAGUCCUCGUCCCCCCAAUUACGAAUUAGCAAUAAAAAGGACGAAAAUCCUUCAAACGGCGGAGCAAAAAUGCCAAAUUUACAAACACAAAAUAGCCUAUAACUCAGCUAUAUCCUUGCGUAUCCUGACGAGUCCUGUGUCAAAUGAAUUGUAUGGACCAGGUCUAUCAUCUGGCAAAAGGGCAUCGAAAUCGUCCUUGUAGUUUCUAAGAUAUGAAGGAUUUUGUGUAUUUGGCCUGUUUUCCUUGCAAAUUGAGGCCGAAAAUUUUUACAAGUACAGGAUUCUUAGAUGACCCCAUAAUUUUUUGAUGCAGAUCGAUGCAAUUGGUCCUUACGAUCAUAAAGCACCAUGUCCUGCAAAAAUGUGCAAGGAUAUGGCCGAGUUAUGGCCAUUUUUCUAAAAAGGACAUUUGUUUUUUGGCCAUAGCCCUGCCAAAUCCUGAAGGAUAUCGGAAGGAUAUACCUUUUUGAGCUCGUAGGAAGCAGGACUAUCGAUUCGCAUUCAAGGAUUUCCAGGAUUCAAUCAAAAAUUUACCUAAAAAAUUUUCCUAGGGGGUUGCUCACAAAAUCGGCAAAAAUCAAUAAAAUCAGGGCUAACUUGGCCAUUUUAAGGACUAUCAUGAUGUCCUUUGCACAGUAGAUAGUCCUCGUCCCCCCAAUUACGAAUUAGCAAUAAAAAGGACGAAAAUCCUUCAAACGGCGGAGCAAAAAUGCCAAAUUUACAAACACAAAAUAGCCUAUAACUCAGCUAUAUCCUUGCGUAUCCUGACGAGUCCUGUGUCAAAUGAAUUGUAUGGACCAGGUCUAUCAUCUGGCCAAAGGGCAUCGAAAUCGUCCUUGUAGUUUCUAAGAUAUGAAGGAUUUUUUGUAUUUGGCCUGUUUUCCUUGCAAAUUGAGGCCGAAAAUUUUUACAAGUACAGGAUUCUUAGAUGACCCCAUAAUUUUUUGAUGCAGAUCGAUGCAAUUGGUCCUUACGAUCAUAAAGCACCAUGUCCUGCCAAAAUGUGCAAGGAUAUGGCCGAGUUUUGGUCAUUUUUCUAAAAAGAAUAUUGGUUUUUUUGUCAUAAUUCUGCACUGGGGAGCAGGACUAUCGAUUAGCAUUCAAGGAUUCGACCGGAAUGGGAAAACAGACCGAAAACACAAAUAUGUUAAUUCUAAUAUAAUGCCUUACCGUAUUUUUAAUGUUUCUAUAAAGUAUAAUUAUUUAAUACCUGCGCAAUUCCCACAUUGUUGCUUCAUUUAUGGCUUGAGCAACUUUCAAGACGCAAUUUGGUUAAUUAGAAUUAGUUAUUACAUUUUCUCAUAGUUGUUGCAGCUGCAGUUGUUGACGUUAAACAAACGAUAGAAAUUAUUCUCAUUUCUAUAGCUGUUCCAAUUGUUUUCAUUUAAUAUAACGCCCACAAGCGUUUGAAGGAAUUACGGGUUAUUUUGCAUAUACAAUUUUAAUAUUUCUGAGACAUUUAUUAGACACAAAUAGAAUGUAGUUAUAGUAUAAUAUACUCUAUAUGCUCGUAUGCUAUAUAAGCGAUAUAAUUGUAAUAACUAAAAUGUACACGCUAAACGACUAAGACAAUGCAUUGCGAGAGCUUGAGCGAAAGUGAGAGGGAACUAGUUAGUUUAUCUCGGUCUCCUGCUCUCUCUUUCGCUCCGCUUAGCUCUGUGCAACUAAAGACUAACGAGAGAAUAGGUAAUUGUAAUUGUAAUUAAAUUGCAUUAAUUAUAAACAAUUACGAAUACAGUUUCACGAAAUACAAUGCACAACAUACGAAACAACAUUUAAA